UGGACUACUAGGGUUUCUAAUCCCGUUUGCUCCCCUGGCUUUCGUGCCUCAGCGUCAGGUAUCGUCCAGAGACUCGCCUUCGCCACUGGUGUCCCUCUCGAUAUCUACGCAUUUCACUGCUACACCGAGAAUUCCAGUCUCCCCUCCGAUCCUCUAGCAAGAUAGUAUUCAGGGCAUUUUCCGGGUUAAGCCCGGAGAUUUCACCACAAACUUACCUUGCCGCCUACGCACCCUUUACGCCCAGUGAAUCCGAACAACGCUUGGGACCUCUGUCUUACCGCGGCUGCUGGCAC
rnacentral:misc_RNA from 1 species